GUUUUUAUAAUUUAAAAAAAAUAUUGGUUUUGUAAACCAAAAAUAAAAAAAACCUUUUUAAAAACA
rnacentral:tRNA from 1 species